GACUCAAAAAACAACAUAUGUUAUCAAAACUGCAUACGUAAAUGACAAUGAUAUCAACUGCUUGGGUUUUUUAACAAAUAUAGUAAUUUAACCCUUCAUAAUUUUUUUUCGUUAAAAGAAAGCUCUGAUUUAGCCUUAAUGUGGGAAUAGUCAAAAGAUAAUUAUAGCAAAAUCAGAAUAAAUUAAUGGUGUCUUUGAGAAGAUAGUAAAACUAAAUUUUGUUAUUUUUAGAAUAUCUAUAAAUUGAAUGACAAUUUUCUAUUAGUGGUAUCAUUUAUUUUCUUAAAUAGUUGCCAUUUUUGAUAGUUGCUUUCUUAAAACGCCCCAUUUAUUUUCAAAGCAAGCGUAAUUAGAAGGCAUGCGAUCGUUUUACUUGCAAUGUUAUGACAGUAAAAAUAUUAAACUUAUUCUUUUAUCUAAGUAUAAGUAAAAAUUUCAAAGGAUAAUGAUUUUCUACAAAUACUUCUGCAUUACAGCGAUCGACAUACUUGAAAUAAAAAUCAGAACAAUCGGGUUUUUAAUGGAUUCUCAGUUUGUAUACACAGUUACUAUCCAGAACACAUCUCUAGUUAUUAGUAAAAAGGGUGGAUUCAAAAUAGCAAGUUUUACAGAAACAAGCUUUUUCAACUUGACUUUGAAAAUGUUCUGAAAAUACUACAACCUUUAAACGUAUAUCAAAUUAAAACUUAUGUAAUAUACUAUAAAAUGAAAAAACGAAAUUUGUCCUGACACCUUGUUUUCUACGUACAAACGGCUUCCAUAGUUAAAAAAAUGCUGUUUUUUUGUGUUAAAUUUAAACUUUAAAUUGCUAUAACUUUUUGAAUAAUGUAUGUAUCAACACAACAUUUUUUUUUUCUAAAUACAUAAAAUAUAUACCUCUUUCAUUUAACAUACUUUUUAUUUAAAUUGGUCAAUUUUCCUUUAUACAGGGGGCUUUCAAAACUUGAAAAAUACUUAUAGAAAGUAGAUUUUUUUCAACUUAACUUUUGAAAAUGUUCCGGAAAUACUGCGUCCUUUAAACAUAUGUCAAAUUAAAGCUUACAAUAAAUACUAU